GUGAACGCUGGCGGUAGGCCUAACACAUGCAAGUCGAACGGCAGCACCGUAAGAACUUGCUCUUCCGGGUGGCGAGUGGCGGACGGGUGAGGAAUACAUCGGAAUCUACUUUUUCGUGGGGGAUAACGUAGGGAAACUUACGCUAAUACCGCAUACGACCUACGGGUGAAAGCAGGGGAUCUUCGGACCUUGCGCGAUUGAAUGAGCCGAUGUCGGAUUAGCUAGUUGGCGGGGUAAAGGCCCACCAAGGCGACGAUCCGUAGCUGGUCUGAGAGGAUGAUCAGCCACACUGGAACUGAGACACGGUCCAGACUCCUACGGGAGGCAGCAGUGGGGAAUAUUGGACAAUGGGCGCAAGCCUGAUCCAGCCAUACCGCGUGGGUGAAGAAGGCCUUCGGGUUGUAAAGCCCUUUUGUUGGGAAAGAAAAGCAGCAGGUUAAUACCCCGCUGUCCUGACGGUACCCAAAGAAUAAGCACCGGCUAACUUCGUG
rnacentral:rRNA from 1 species